GACGUAGGGCGCGAGCGUUGUCCGGAUUUAUUGGGCGUAAAGAGCUCGUAGGCGGCUUGUCGCGUCGACUGUGAAAACUUGGGGCUCAACCCCAAGCUUGCAGUCGAUACGGGCAGGCUAGAGUUCGGUAGGGGAGACUGGAAUUCCUGGUGUAGCGGUGAAAUGCGCAGAUAUCAGGAGGAACACCGGUGGCGAAGGCGGGUCUCUGGUACGUGACUGACGCUGAGACGCGAAAGCGUGGGGAGCAAACAGG
rnacentral:rRNA from 1 species